UCUUUUUCUUUUUUUCAUAUUUUUCCUUCCCUCUUCUCUUUGACGGGGUCUAACGAAAAUAGUCUUUCUAUUUUAUUUUGAGAUAGUGAUAUGAAUUGUGUAAUCUUAGAUUUUUUAGAACCUCUUUUGCUGGAAUAUACUGAAAAUAUUAUUGUCUUUUAAUUUUUGUGAACUAACAAUUAUCAAAAAAUAUGAUUAUAAAUUAUAGCGGUAUGUUGCAUUUUUCUUGUAGGAGAAGUUUAACUUUAAUGUGUUUGAGGGAAGAAAAGGUACAAUUUUGGGUCAUAUGAAUGAUCUAUAUAGAGAUUAUAGACACAAGCUGAAACAAAAGUAUUUUGAUGCAAAAACAACUUACCAACUUCGCUUACGCAUUAAGCCUAAACUUCUUGUCUCAGACGACUAGAAAUAUUUGGUCAAUCUUUGGAGUGAUGCGAACUUUCAGAAGAAAGGCGGAAAAGCUCCAUCUCGUGUUGAAGUCUUUAUUAAAUCGCGCAAGAGAAAAAAUGGAAAAUAAAUUGAUACUUUUCAACAAGAUGUAAUUGAUCAAUUAGAACAACACAAAAAGUGCAAAAAGAAGGAGAAAUUUUCUUAAAUGAUGAUGAUAUUUUUGAAAAGGUUCUUGGGACUGAAAAAAAUGAAUAUCUUCGUGCAUAUGGACCAGGAAAAAAUAUCAGUGAAUACUUUGGUGGAAGACCGACAAAGUUACAACUCAUAAAACAAGUAGAAUCAAUUAAAAAGGAAUCAAAUGAGCAUGUGAAAAAAGUCAAACGAGAAGCUAAAGAAGAAUCAGAAGAAAUGAAGAAAGAAAUGGAGGAUAAGAUCGCAGAAUUGGAUAAACGAUGGGAAGAAAGAUUUCAAAGGAUGUUUGCAACUCAAAGUCAAGAGUGAUUGCAUGGUGUGGAGUGAUGGAAUAUCAAAUCAAUGAAGGCCUAUGAUUAUAUUUUCUUGCAAGAUGUUUUAUUAUUUUGGAACAAUAUCAUUG